UACGUAGGGUGCAAGCGUUGUCCGGAAUUAUUGGGCGUAAAGAGCUCGUAGGCGGUUUGUUGCGUCGGCUGUGAAAUCCCGAGGCUCAACCUCGGGUCUGCAGUCGAUACGAGCAAACUAGAGUGUUGCAGGGGAGACUGGAAUUCCUGGUGUAGCGGUGAAAUGCGCAGAUAUCAGGAGGAACACCGGUGGCGAAGGCGGCUAUCUGGACGGUUUCUGACGCUAAGACGCGAAAGCGUGGGGAGCAAACAGG
rnacentral:rRNA from 1 species